UCGGGCUAUCUGCAGUCGAGCGAAUCGAUGGGAGCUUGCUCCCUGAGAUUAGCGGCGGACGGGUGAGUAACACGUGGGCAACCUGCCUAUAAGACUGGGAUAACUUCGGGAAACCGGAGCUAAUACCGGAUACGUUCUUUUCUCGCAUGAGAGAAGAUGGAAAGACGGUUUACGCUGUCACUUAUAGAUGGGCCCGCGGCGCAUUAGCUAGUUGGUGAGGUAAUGGCUCACCAAGGCGACGAUGCGUAGCCGACCUGAGAGGGUGAUCGGCCACACUGGGACUGAGACACGGCCCAGACUCCUACGGGAGGCAGCAGUAGGGAAUCUUCCGCAAUGGACGAAAGUCUGACGGAGCAACGCCGCGUGAACGAAGAAGGCCUUCGGGUCGUAAAGUUCUGUUGUUAGGGAAGAACAAGUACCAGAGUAACUGCUGGUACCUUGACGGUACCUAACCAGAAAGCCACGGCUAACUACGUGCCAGCAGCCGCGGUAAUACGUAGGUGGCAAGCGUUGUCCGGAAUUAUUGGGCGUAAAGCGCGCGCAGGUGGUUCCUUAAGUCUGAUGUGAAAGCCCACGGCUCAACCGUGGAGGGUCAUUGGAAACUGGGGAACUUGAGUGCAGAAGAGGAAAGUGGAAUUCCAAGUGUAGCGGUGAAAUGCGUAGAGAUUUGGAGGAACACCAGUGGCGAAGGCGACUUUCUGGUCUGUAACUGACACUGAGGCGCGAAAGCGUGGGGAGCAAACAGGAUUAGAUACCCUGGUAGUCCACGCCGUAAACGAUGAGUGCUAAGUGUUAGAGGGUUUCCGCCCUUUAGUGCUGCAGCUAACGCAUUAAGCACUCCGCCUGGGGAGUACGGCCGCAAGGCUGAAACUCAAAGGAAUUGACGGGGGCCCGCACAAGCGGUGGAGCAUGUGGGUUUAAUUUCGAAGCAACGCGAGAACCUUUACCAGUCUUGACAUCUCUGACACCCUAGAGAUAGGGCUUUCCCCUUCGGGGACAGAGUGACAGUGUGCAUGAUUGUCGUCAGU
rnacentral:rRNA from 1 species